rnacentral:rRNA from 1 species
UACGAAGGGUGCAAGCGUUACUCGGAAUUACUGGGCGUAAAGCGUGCGUAGGUGGUUUGUUAAGUCUGUUGUGAAAGCCCCGGGCUCAACCUGGGAAUGGCAAUGGAUACUGGCAAGCUAGAGUGCGGUAGAGGGUAGUGGAAUUCCCGGUGUAGCGGUGAAAUGCGUAGAGAUCGGGAGGAACACCAGUGGCGAAGGCGGGGUGCUGGGCCGAAACUGACGCUGAGGCGCGAAAGCCAGGGGAGCGAACGGG